AGGACAGUGGCUGGAGCCCGUCACACCGACUUGCUCGCGUGAUCGGUGGGGCUUGAGGAAAGACACAGCGAGCUGCGCACGGAGAAGCCCUGUCGAAGCGAUGAAGGACCCGGGUUCAAUUCCCGGCAGCUCCACCA
rnacentral:tRNA from 1 species